rnacentral:misc_RNA from 1 species
AUCAUUGUGUAAGGUCGAAAAA